UACGGAGGAUCCGAGCGUUAUCCGGAUUUAUUGGGUUUAAAGGGUGCGCAGGCGGGAGAUUAAGUCGGCGGUGAAAUUUUGCAGCUCAACUGUAAAAGUGCCUUCGAUACUGGCUUCCUUGAGUGUGGAUGAAGUAGGCGGAAUUUGUGGUGUAGCGGUGAAAUGCAUAGAUAUCACGAGGAACUCCGAUUGCGCAGGCAGCUUACUAGGCCAUAACUGACGCUCAGGCACGAAGGCGUGGGGAUCAAACAGGAUUAGAUA
rnacentral:rRNA from 1 species